UUAAAUUGAAGAGUUUGAUCAUGGCUCAGAUUGAACGCUGGCGGCAGGCCUAACACAUGCAAGUCGAACGGUAACAGGAAGCAGCUUGCUGC
rnacentral:rRNA from 50 species